rnacentral:sRNA from 1 species
AGUUGUUCCAUGAACUCUGCCCUGUGAGACGGUCGCAUCGACAGAGGAAUCCAGGGCACUUUAGCACCAAACUGUCAGAUGUGCCAGCCUGUCCUAGUGGUCAGAGGAAAUUUCCCUAAUAUGUAGCAUUUCAGCUGAGACCUGAAGGAUGAGCACAGUUUAGCCGGGCGUCUGGGAGAGACUGGGUCACUUUACAGAAGCACAGAAUAUGGAAGAGUGACUGUCCCUACUAAAGCAUUCCACACAGGGUACUGUGUGGUUUUAUUGACUGCUGAGACUACCAAGUUGAGCAAACCCUUUGAGGCUUUCCUGUCCUUUGCCCUGGCAAACACUCAAGACACAGUGAGAUUUGUGCAUGUCUACAGCAAUCGGCAGCAGGAGUUUGCCGGCACCUUACUACCAGACGGUGAGGCGUUUCAAGGGAAAUCAGCGGUGUCUAUUUUAGAAAGGCGCAACACAGCAGGAAGGGUGGUGUAUAAAACCCUGGAAGACCCUUGGACUGGGAGUGAGAGUGACAAAUUUAUCCUCUUGGGCUAUCUCGACCAGCUGCGUAAAGAUCCAGCUCUUCUGUCCUCUGAAGCAGUGCUUCCCGACCUGACCGAUGAACUUGCCCCUGUUUUUCUCCUUCGAUGGUUCUACUCUGCUUGUGACUACAUCUCAGACUGCUGGGAUAGCAUUUUUCACAACAACUGGAAAGGAUCACCCAUGGCUGCCAUUCUGGGCAGCAGAGCCUGGGACUGUCUCUUCAUCAGGGAACCUCUGGUGCCCAGCACAGGGCCUGACACACAUGGAGUCCAGUGUAUAGAUGUAAAAGGAAUGAGUGAAUUAACCUCAAGAGGGAUACCUGCUCCCACCUACUGAUAAGACCAUGAGCCCCUGAAGGACAGAACCACAUCUCAUUCAUGUUUGUGAUUCCUGGCACCCAACACAGCACCUGACAAAUGACAGCCUUUGAUGGGUGUUGGCGGGAAAUGAUGCCCCUGCUGUCCCUGAUCUUCUCUGCCCUCUUCAUCCUCUUCGGCACUGUCAUCGUUCAGGCUUUCAGCGACUCUAGUGAUGAGCGAGAGUCAAGCCCUCCAGAUAAAGAGGAAGCCCAAGAGAAGACUGGGAAGACUGAGCCAAGCUUCACCAAAGAAAACAGCAGGUUUCUCUAACAAAACACCAGACUCACCUCCCCGGCACCUGCCCCCCAGAUGCUGUCAUCUGAUAACGCAGCACUGGAACAUAGAGUGUAGAGAAGAACUCUCAUGCACCUCCCCCCAUGUAAACUGUGGCUACAGGGAAAAGUCACUGUGACUUGUGUUUACUAAGACCCUCUAGGUGUUUAGGUGCCUUAGAUUUCAUAAUGAAGGCAGAAGGAAAGAAGCCUAUCAGCAAGAUUCCUAAAAAAGGCUUUGUGGAGGUAACUGAACUCACAGAUGUAACAUACACCAGUAACUUGGUACGUCUGAGGCCAGGCCACAUGAAUGUGGUCCUCAUCCUGUCGAAUUCUACCAAGACCAGCCUACUACAGAAAUUUGCUUUGGAGGUCUACACAUUUACUGGGAGCAGCUGCCUACACUUCUCCUUCCUGAGUCUAGAUAAACACAGAGAAUGGCUAGAAUACUUAUUAGAAUUUGCUCAAGAUGCAGCUCCAAUCCCAAACCAAUAUGAUAAGCAUUUCAUGGAGCGUGACUACACUGGUUAUGUACUGGCUCUGAAUGGCCACAAGAAAUACUUCUGCCUCUUCAAGCCCCAAAAAACAGUCGAAGAGGAGGAAGCCAUAGGGUCGUGCAGUGAUGUUGACUCUUCCCUCUACCUGGGUGAAUCUCGAGGGAAACCUUCCUGUGGCCUUGGAUCCAGGCCCAUCAAAGGAAAGUUAAGCAAGCUCUCCUUAUGGAUGGAACGCCUGCUGGAGGGCUCCUUACAGAGGUUUUAUAUCCCAUCAUGGCCUGAACUAGACUGAGAGGAUUUUCAAAAGAGAUUUGAACUCUUCAGACUUUUUAACAUGCCCCUGUGAACAGUUUGAAAAGGAAAGGAAUAAACGGGAGUUCUGCAUGUGAGUUCUCAAGAAAAGGAAAGGGAGGCUGAGCAGUGGCUGAAGCGAUGCAGCCUUGAGACACACUGAGCAUCCCAUCUGCCGCCCCAGCGCUGCUGGUAGCCAGGGGAGGGGUCUACACAGCGAGAAGUACUGUGAUGACUUUGAGCCGUUGACACAAAGAUCAUAUGGUGGUGAAACUUCGACAAGAUCACAGCCCACCACGUUCAGGCCUUGACAACCCCUGAUGAUCUCCAGAGCCUAUUCAAGAUCAAGACUGAGUUGUCCACAGUGGUAAUCAUUUACAAUGAAAAGCACCCAGUAGAGCUUUUCCCAGCACACACCACCCUUUGACUUGGAAUUGGCUUUCCCUCCAUAAACAUUUGUUGACUGCCAGGCACACUGGCAGGCCUCCCAGAGACACAGAUAAUGCGUACACAGUCCCUGCUCCUCAGGGCUGCAUGGUGUGGUGAUGGAGACAAGGAAACCAAUCAUUUCAAUGUCAUGCACCAAGGGCUUCAAGAAAAGCAAGCCCAGAAUGGUAUCAGCACAGGUAACAGACUGGAGAGGUGAAAAGCCCAGAAGAUUGCUAAGCAGAGGGAUGAGGAAUGUGUUUCAGAAAUCCCUCAUGAGAAGAGAGGAUGGUUACGGCCAUGUCAAGAGAGAGAGUUAUGGCCACCCUCCUUUAAGAUCUUAGAGGAUGUAAGGAAGAAGGUUGGGAAGUACCCGUCUAGUAAACUAUAAUUUCCAAUAUCUACUUCAACAUUUUGGGUGUCCUCCAAGGGCAGUACCUUGUAAAACACAAGGAAUAAAUGUUUUGUGAGUGAC